GAUGAACGCUGGCGGCGUGCCUAAUACAUGCAAGUCGAGCGAACGGACGAGAAGCUUGCUUCUCUGAUGUUAGCGGCGGACGGGUGAGUAACACGUGGAUAACCUACCUAUAAGACUGGGAUAACUUCGGGAAACCGGAGCUAAUACCGGAUAAUAUUUUGAACCGCAUGGUUCAACAGUGAAAGACGGUCUUGCUGUCACUUAUAGAUGGAUCCGCGCUGCAUUAGCUAGUUGGUAAGGUAACGGCUUACCAAGGCAACGAUGCAUAGCCGACCUGAGAGGGUGAUCGGCCACACUGGAACGGAGACACGGUCCAGACUCCUACGGGAGGCAGCAGUAGGGAAUCUUCCGCAAUGGGCGAAAGCCUGACGGAGCAACGCCGCGUGAGUGAUGAAGGUCUUCGGAUCGUAAAACUCUGUUAUUAGGGAAGAACAUAUGUGUAAGUAACUGUGCACAUCUUGACGGUACCUAAUCAGAAAGCCACGGCUAACUACGUG
rnacentral:rRNA from 1 species